GAUGAACGCUAGCGGCGGGCUUAAUACAUGCAAGUCGAGGGGCAGCACGAUGUAGCAAUACAUUGGUGGCGACCGGCGGACGGGUGCGUAACACGUAUGCAACUUGCCCUAUACUGGGGGAUAGCCCGAAGAAAUUAGGAUUAAUACCCCAUAACAUCAGGAUCAGCAUUGAUCUUGGGUCAAAGUUCCGACGGUAUAGGAUGGGCAUGCGGUCGAUUAGCUUGUUGGUGAGGUAACGGCUCACCAAGGGGACGAUCGAUAGGGGGCCUGAGAGGGUGAUCCCCCACACUGGUACUGAGACACGGACCAGACUCCUACGGGAGGCAGCAGUAAGGAAUAUUGGUCAAUGGGCGCAAGCCUGAACCAGCCACGCCGCGUGAAGGAAGACGGCCCUAUGGGUUGUAAACUUCUUUUCUACGGGAAUAAACCUCGGGACGUGUCCCGAGCUGAAGGUAUCGUAGGAAUAAGGAUCGGCUAACUUCGUGCCAGCAGCCGCGGUAACAC
rnacentral:rRNA from 1 species